rnacentral:lncRNA from 1 species
GAUGUCGAAGGACGAAAAGCAAUAGGCUGAACAAAGACUGGCUCACUAGAUGUAGAGGGCCUAAACUAAAGCUAAAUCCUGAUGGCAUCAAGUUGGGACAAGAUCUCCCUCACAGUAAUUUAGAGCCCAUCAAGAUCAGUAGAUAGAAAAUCUCUGGAGUCUCUGAUGUCUGUCCAAAGCAGCUCAAGAGAGAAACGAAGCUGACUGUGGAGUCUCUCAAUCUCUCGAGCCAGGUCAUUCAUCUACGGCGUAGAAGAAGUCGAUGUGCCCACUCCAACAGAUAGAGAGACUACAAUCCGUCUGACCUCUCUCUCUAAAUCGAAAAUCCUGCCACUGAAUCUGAGAAGGGAGCUUUCCACACCCU